rnacentral:rRNA from 1 species
AAGUCGGAAUCGCUAGUAAUCGUAGAUCAGAAUGCUACGGUGAAUACGUUCCCGGGCCUUGUACACACCGCCCGUCACACCAUGGGAGUGGGUUGCAAAAGAAGUAGGUAGCUUAACCUUCGGGAGGGCGCUUACCACUUUGUGAUUCAUGACUGGGGUGAAGUCGUAACAAGGUAACCGUAGGGGAACCUGCGGUUGGAUCACCUCCUUA